AUUGAACGCUGGCGGCAGGCUUAACACAUGCAAGUCGAGCGGAGAGAGGUAGCUUGCUACUGAUCUUAGCGGCGGACGGGUGAGUAAUGCUUAGGAAUCUGCCUAUUAGUGGGGGACAACGUUUCGAAAGGAACGCUAAUACCGCAUACGUCCUACGGGAGAAAGCAGGGGAUCUUCGGACCUUACGCUAAUAGAUGAGCCUAAGUCGGAUUAGCUAGUUGGUGGGGUAAAGGCCUACCAAGGCGACGAUCUGUAGCGGGUCUGAGAGGAUGAUCCGCCACACUGGGACUGAGACACGGCCCAGACUCCUACGGGAGGUAGCAGUGGGGAAUAUUGGACAAUGGGCGGAAGCCUGAUCCAGCCAUGCCGCGUGUGUGAAGAAGGCCUUUUGGUUGUAAAGCACUUUAAGCGAGGAGGAGGAGCUCUAGGUUAAUACCCUAGAAGCUUGGACGUUACUCGCAGAAUAAGCACCGGCUAACUCUGUGCCAGCAGCCGCCGUAA
rnacentral:rRNA from 1 species